rnacentral:rRNA from 1 species
GAUGAACGCUGGCGGCGUGCCUAAUACAUGCAAGUCGAGCGAACAGAUGAGGAGCUUGCUCCUCUGACGUUAGCGGCGGACGGGUGAGUAACACGUGGAUAACCUACCUAUAAGACUGGGAUAACUUCGGGAAACCGGAGCUAAUACCGGAUAAUAUAUUGAACCGCAUGGUUCAAUAGUGAAAGACGGUUUUGCUGUCACUUAUAGAUGGAUCCGCGCCGCAUUAGCUAGUUGGUAAGGUAACGGCUUACCAAGGCAACGAUGCGUAGCCGACCUGAGAGGGUGAUCGGCCACCUGAGAACUGAGCCACGGUCCAGACUCCUACGGGAGGCAGCAGUCGGGAAUCUUCCGCAAUGGGCGAAAGCAUGACGGAGCAACGCCGCGUGAGUGAUGAAGGUCUUCGGAUCGUAAAACUCUGUUAUUAGGGAAGAACAAAUGUGUAAGUAACUAUGCACGUCUUGACGGUACCUAAUCAGAAAGCCACGGCUAACUACGUG